rnacentral:rRNA from 1 species
CGCCUCCCUCCGCCGCCACUCAGACUCCUACGGACGGCGAGCGAGGUGGGAAGUCGUUGCGCAUGGACGAAAGUCUGACGCAGCAACGCCGCGUGAGGGACGAAGGCUUCUGAGUUGUAACCUCUUCGACAGGAACGAUUGUGACGGUACCUGUAGAAGAAGCACCGGCCAACUAUGUGCCAGCAGCCGCGGAAUAC